rnacentral:tRNA from 1 species
GCCUGGGUGGCUCAGUCGGUUGAGCAUCUGACUUCAGCUCAGGUCGUGAUUGUGCUGCUCGUUGGUUUGAGCCCCAUGUCGGGCU